CCAUGAUGACUUUGGCCAUUGAUAACAAGAUAAUACCUUAACCCAGCAAUUCGUCAUCAUAUCAGGCACCUUGAAGACUUGGAAAGGGGCUUUCCUUCCCUGGGGUGCCUACUCCAGAGGGAGACCUAUGUGUCAUGUUUAAAGUUUGCUUUCCAGACCUAUUUCCACCACAGACAUGGCAGAUUCUGAAGCGAAUUUACCCUAAGCUUAGGUUGUACUCUGAGCCAGCCCAGGAUCCAACACAGCAAUAUAAUAUUCCCUACCAUACAAAGCCCACCUCGUGUGUACAUAGCUCCGGGUUCAGUGAUACUGGAGACGAUGUCUAAAAUGCAAAAAGCCACAGUUUUCAGGAAAAAUGUCCUGUCCCUCACCUACUUCAGAGCUGGCUCUCUUGCUAUGUGGAUGGGGAAGUAGAGAUGAGGUAGGGAGAGCUGGCCCAGGCCCCGACUCAGCUUUUGCGUCAAGCUUGGAAUCCAUUUCACACUUCAGUGGUGGAAAGGGACCUGAGUGUUGCGUGGCAAUACGUACAAAUUGCUUUUCUAGGUCUUCUUUUGCUUCCCAGACUAUUCUCCCUUUCUUUGUCUUCUUCCUGACAAGAAAGAGGAAGGGAGACAAUAGAUACGGCUUCACUAUUCUCAUUCUGCUUUGAGCACACAGAAUCCUGCAGUCAGGUGACCGGCACUACUAUACGUACACACCCAUGCACCUAUAUGUCUCUCACAGCUCGCCUCGCCUUCUGUGGGGUGAGAGAGGAAGGGAAGUUCUUUGACCUAUGAAGAAAAGGCCAUUGAGGAAGAGUCACCUUUCCUUUGAUCCAGGAGGGUGAACAAGACCCAGCAGCCUGUCUGCUGCCUACUCCUCUGUCUACAUCCGUCCAGGCUGGCAGGGUGAGCAAAGCCAAAGUAAACUUCCUUCCCAGCCUCCGGUCACCUCUGCGAAGCCACAGCAGGCCCUCCUUCCUUCCUCCAAGCCCAGACUUUGGAGAUUCGCUAAACGAUACUCCAAACAUGGCCCAACAGAAGGGAGCUCUUUGGUAUUAGAAGAACAAAUAUGUUUGGAAAGAAUAACACCUUUGGCUGUGAGAAACCGAACAGAGACCGUCCUUUUCAGAGGACAUUCCUUUCAUGCGGGCUGAUUAAUUUUCUCUAAUUGUGCAGAAACCGUCCUUUACUUUUGUUUAAAAGCACUUCUUUCGUAAAAAUUUUCAUUCCCAGAAGAGAUGGAAGACUAUCUUGCUGGCUUGAUGGAAUGCAUCCUUAAAGACAAGCCAGGGACCGUGGAGAGGGUAGCCUGAGGAACAUGGCCUCCUUCCCCCAUGCUGCCAGAGUUUUUGCUGGUAGCAUAAUUUCUACCUGAAAUGUACUCCACUUCCGUAUCCCAACCUUUCAUGACCAUCACAAAGUCAAGUUUUCCUCAUCCUUUCUACUUCAUGUAAUUCCCAUCUUUGGACCUCCAUUGUGAAUGCUGCUCUGUUCUUCAGCCAGUUGCUUCUCAGCCGGGUGGUUGUUGCCACCCGGUGGGCUCCCUGGGCUGUCUUCC